ensembl:lncRNA
UUGAAUUGGUUCAUUUGAAAGUAGACAUUUCACUCUAUAGAUAUAUUUUUAAUGUCUGUAAGGAAAGUUUACACAGAGUUUCGUGCUCGAGUUCACAGAGACCGAGAUGGCAGAAAGUGCAUCCUGUUUGCUUUCAUUAUUUUACAAAAGCGCAAUGUUUUCUUGUUAUUGUGAGUGCACACAAAUAAACAUAGAGUUUUUACAGAUUUGAAAGAUGUAUUACUCUCAUCUGUAUGAGUAAAGAUGAGGGAGUAUUUUAAGUGCACCGGCGCCUCCAUCUGUCCUGCAGUGAUCUACUGUUCAGCUCCACUCUCCUCCAGACACUGAACAGCGCACACUUCUCAGGUUAACGUUAGAUUGAGCAGCCAUGUGAAGUUGCUGCUACUUACAUAUUUGUGGUGGAUGAAUGAUAGGCGAGCGUUUGGAUGUCCUGCCUGAUGUACUGUACUAGCACCGAUCUGCGUGACUUUUUAUUUAUUUAUUUCUGCGACUAAGCGGUUAAUACAAUUUUGGUUGACCAAGCCUCUUCUGGUCGACUAACGGUUAGCAGACUAUUAGGGGGCAGCCGUAAUGUUUAUAUAGAAAUAAUGAAGAUUUCUGUGUCACCCCAGACUGGUUGCUGGCCACCUCUAUGAAAUCAUCCUGGCUCUGACACUGCGUUCGCUCAGAAUUCAGAAAGCUCUACAAAAGGGCUGACACCUGUUAUAGUGCUCCAGAUAGGGAGCGGUUUCAGACACAGCUUCAGUCCGCAGCUUUGACUGAGUGUGUGUGCGUGUGUGUGUGUGUGUUUCAGGACAGUGAGGUCAGUGUGACGGUUCCUCCUGAAGAAAGAACAGAACCUGAACUACAGGAUUUGGCCCUGUCCAGGGAUCACAGUCCAGAGGCGUCUUCAGAGGAGUCUGAGGACAGUGAAGCAGCAGCGUCGCUCUCAUCUGCUCAUAAUGUGCAGGUAUGACCUCGUUAACACACACACACACACACACACACAACACAUGAACACAGCGGGUAAAAUAAGUAUUGAACACGUCACCAUUUUUCCUCAGGCUGGUUUCCACUCCAGACUCUCAGAGAAUGUGUUUGAUCUGCUGGAUCUGUCACCUGCAGUGGACAGGAAGGAAGUCGAGGGCGAGGCAGAUAUGGACAGCUGUGUGGAUGUCUCUGACUCUGCAGACAGGCAUGUGUUGCGUGAUGAAGAAGAGAAGAAGAGACAAUUAGAGAGAGAGGAAGAGGAGAAGAAGAGACAAGAAAGGGAGGAAGAGGAGAAGAGAAAGUGUGAGGAAGAGGAGAAGAGACACGUAGAGAGAGAGGAAGAGGAGAAGAAGAGACGAUUAGAGCGAGAGGAAGAGGAGAAGCGUAAGCGUGAUGAAGAGGAGAAGAGACGAUUAGAGAGAGAGGAAGAGGAGAAGAGACAAUUAGAGAGAGAGGAAGAGGAGAAGAAGAGACAAGAGAGGGAGGAAGAGGAGAAGAAGAGACGAUUAGAGCGAGAGGAAGAGGAGAAGCGUAAGCGUGAUGAAGAGGAGAAGAGACAAUUAGAGAGGGAGGAAGAGGAGAAGAGAAAAUGUGAGGAAGAGGAGAAAAAGAGACAAGAAGAGAGGGAGGAAGAGGAGAAGAGAAAGCGUGAGGAAGAGAAGAGGAAGAGACAAGUAGAGAGAGAGGAGAGGAAGAGGCUGGAGGACGCAGAGAGACAGAUGGAGGAGGAGAGGAGCAGACUGAUGGAGGACACACAGAGGAGACUGCAGCUGCUCAGAGACGCUCUGAUGAAGGACGAGGAGCGCCGGAUGAAGGAGGAGAGCGCUGAGCAGCUCAGAGUCCUGAAGGAGCAGAUGCUCAAACAGAGACGAGACGAGGAGGAGAGACUGAACAACGACAUGCACACACAACUACAACAGCUCAGGCUUGAGAAUGAGGUGAAGCUGCAGAAGCUGUGCUCAGAGCUGGAGGCGGAGCAGGAGAGGGCGGAGACUCAGAGGAGGCGGGACCUCGAGCGCCUGAGGGAGGAGUCAGAGGAGGAGCUCCGGGCAGAGAGGAGGCGGCUACAAGAGAAGAAGGAGGAGCAGCUGACCUCCAUCAGACUACAGGUGUGUGUGUAUGUGUGUGUGUGUGUGUGUGUGUGUGUGAGAGAGUGAGCUGUAAGUGUGUAUAUAACGUCGGUUUCACACUGCAAGCGUGAGCAGUGCGUAUUUCUGUCGGCGUGCAUGUUAAUCAGUUAAUAAGAGUGCAUUCACACCGGCAGCAGCAGCAGCGCGUGAGCAGCAGUGCCAGGUCUAUAUUUGCUGUGCUGCUGACGCUUAAUUAAAGUGACAGCACACUUUUGAUGAGCAAAAUAAACAUGAUUUCACACAAAACCUGCUAAAAUGC